rnacentral:snRNA from 1 species
UAAUUUCCUCUGCCUCACAAAGA